rnacentral:rRNA from 1 species
GACGUAGGUGGCGAACGUUAUCCGGAAUUAUUGGGCGUAAAGGGUGCGUAGGCGGCAUGAUAAGUUAUUGGCGGCAAAUCGAGGCUCAACCUCGUGGAAACUGAUAAUACUGUCUUGCUUGAGUGCAGAAGAGGUUAACGGAACUCCAUGUGGAGCGGUAAAAUGUGUAGAUAUAUGGAAGAACAUCAAUAACGGCGAAGGCAGUUAACUAUUCUGUUACUGACGUUGAGGCACGAAAAGCGUGGGGAGCAAAAAGG